AGGAAGAAAGGAAGAACAAGAAGGAAGGUAGGAAGGGCUGCAACUAUGUUGCUGCUGUCCCUACUUCUUCAAGGGAGCAGUUGCCAUGAGGAGGAGCUUUUGUUGCUGCUCUCAAGGUGCUGCUAGAGGAACCCUAGGGCUGCUAGAGAGGUUGCCACUGAUGGAACUGUGUUUGGAGCUGGACAGUUGCACCAAGACACUCCCUACUACAGUUACAAGUUCCAAGAACUGAAAAGAGAUGUAGGAACCUGAGCUGGAGUGGAUCGAGACUUGACAAGGGUUGUGAGGCUGUGUCUUUGUGACAUCAUAUGGAGGAUUGAGAUUUUUUGCUCUGAGGAUUUAUAAUUUUGUUUGUAAGAUGUGAUUAUAUUAUGGUAAUUGGUAAUUGCGAGCUAUAACUCAAUUGUCUCUGUAAUUAUUAUUUAUCAUUUAGAUUUGAUCACCAUGGGUUAUGUAAAAUAUGAAUUUUUCCUUAUAUGCGUACUCUAACUUGGUAGAA